GCUGGGCGCGGUGGCUCAUGCCUGUAAUCCCAGCACUUUGGGAGGCCGAGGCGGGUGGAUCACCUGAGGUCAGGAGUUCAAGACCAGCCUGGCCAACAUGGUGAA
rnacentral:SRP_RNA from 14 species